rnacentral:rRNA from 1 species
CUACGGGGUGCUGCAGUGGGGAAUAUUGCACAAUGGGCGCAAGCCUGAUGCAGCCAUGCCGCGUGUAUGAAGAAGGCCUUCGGGUUGUAAAGUACUUUCAGCGGGGAGGAAGGGAGUAAAGUUAAUACCUUUGCUCAUUGACGUUACCCGCAGAAGAAGCACCGGCUAACUCCGUGCCAGCAGCCGCGGUAAUACGGAGGGUGCAAGCGUUAAUCGGAAUUACUGGGCGUAAAGCGCACGCAGGCGGUUUGUUAAGUCAGAUGUGAAAUCCCCGGGCUCAACCUGGGAACUGCAUCUGAUACUGGUAAGCUUGAGUCUCGUAGAGGGGGGUAGAAUUCCAGGUGUAUCGGUGAAAUGCGUAGAGAUCUGGAGGAAUACCGGUGGCGAAGGCGGCCCCCUGGACGAAGACUGACGCUCAGGUGCGAAAGCGUGGGGAGCAAACAGGAUUAGAUACCCGCGUAGUC